CCGCCACCAGCCUAGCGCUACCGCGUAACGAGCUCCCCCAACCUUCGGAAAACAUCGGCUAUCGCCGCAGACAGCUCCUCCGCAUUCGGAAGUUCUCGGGUAUUUCCGUGACCCUUCACCCCUCGCCCUGCGGCCACUCCCGGUCGGAACGCUCGGAGAAAGCAGCUGUUCGGAGAGUCGGGCUGGCUGAUUGGCCAAGAGCCCCUCGCCUCUUGGGUGGCAUGGCGAGCUCCUGAGGCAUGCUCCGCUUUGCUGCAGACAGCCUGGGGGAAUCCUCGGACUUACGACGCCUGACUUGCAUCAGACGCCACUUACGACACUUUUCAGUUGACUGCCCGUUUUGCCCCUAUGAUGCUUGUUUCGCCCUUAGGAGGAAAGCCGGCAGGGAAAACAGCACACAUCACAUGCGGAGUCUCAGCCAAUCACUGAUUUCACUGUUAAAGUUUUCUGAUUGGCUGAGCCCAGGGCCGGGAGCCAAUCAAAAACAAGUGGCAAGGCUACCCGGCAACAAGCUAUCCUGGCCAUGGAAGCCAAUCAGACAAGCAACUGCAAGGGACCCACUUCCAGCUCCAUUCAUUAUAAUGCAACCACAAAAUUAUUUACAAGCAACUCUGUAAAAAGCAAGCCCAAUUCUGCGUAGUAUGUUGCCGGCAUUCUGAGCAGCUGCCUGCCUUGCUGCCUUUCUGCCCAGUCUGACUUAAGAUGCCCAGUUGCUGUUCUUUGUGAUUCUAAUUUUUUUUUUUAAUGGCAGAAAAGCGUAAAUCCGGUGCAGGUGAUGUUUCUUCUAAGAAAUACAGAACAAUUACUAUGGAAACAAAAAUGGACGUCAUUAAGAGAUCCGGAAAAGGGGAGACAGCAACUGAAAUCAGCAGAGCUUUGGACAUCCCCCGAACGACUAUCGUGAUCAUCCUGAAAGACAAGGUUAGAAUUCAGGAACAUGUCAAGGGCUCAGCUCCUAUGCAGUCAACUGUGAUAACUAAGCAGUGUGUUGGACUCAUUGCGUCGGUUGAGAAACAGUUAAUUGUUUGGCGGAGGAUCAAAAUGAAUGCCGAGCUCUUGUGAGCUUAGGCAUAAUUCAGGAAAAGGCUAGGAGUCUUUAUGAAGAGCUAAAGAGUUAUACUCAUGAGCCCUUUAAUGCAAGCAGGGGCUGGUUUAUGCGUUUUAAAGCCAGGGCCAAUUUGCCCAACAUCAGGAUCUUGACAACAAAAGUGUUAGCUGAGACAUUUCAACAUUUGGAAGCUGCCAUGUCCCUGUUGGAGGAACAUGACCCCAGCAUUGAACGCAGUGCAUCUGUGAAUAGGGGCAUAUCCAACAUGUACAGCUGCUACAGAGAAAUUUACAAGGAGAAGAGGAGAACAUUUGUUCAAACUUCCUUGGACACGUUCUUUAAGACUCCAGAGAAGCCCCCAGCCAAGAGCCCUUCAAAACAUUCUAGAAAGUCAAAGCAUAUAUGAUUUUAUAUGUUUAUUUGAAUGCUGUUUACCAAAUAAAUACAUUGAUGUUG